AUUGAACGCUGGCGGCAGGCCUAACACAUGCAAGUCGAGCGGAGCGGCGGACGGGUGAGUAAUGCCUAGGAAUCUGCCUGGUCGUGGGGGAUAACGUCCGGAAACGGGCGCUAAUAUCGCAUACUAUCAGAUGAGCCUAGGUCGGAUUAGCUGGUUGGUGGGGUAAAGGCCUACAAAGGCGACGACCCGUAACUGGUCUGAGAGGAUGAUGAGUAACACGGGAACGUGGACAGGGUCCAAACUCGUACGGGAGGCAGCAGUGGGGAAUAUCGGACAAUGGGCGAAAGCCUGACGCAGCAAGGCCGCGUGUGGGAAGAAGGUCUUCGGAUUGUAAAGCACUUUAAGUUGGGAGGCGCUACCAACAGAAUAAGCACCGGCUAACUUCGUGCCAGCAGCCGCGGUAAUUC
rnacentral:rRNA from 1 species